AUGUCCUGAGCCGCAAGUGUCAGGGAGGGAACCAUGUCACACGAAUAACUCUUGGCUGUACAGAGACAAGAAUAAAAGCUUUUCCCCGUGCUUGGCCAUUGGCCAGCUUCGCUCUGGAAGUCCUGGAUCCAGAAGCCUUGGCACUGGAAGCCGUGUGAGUGUGUGUGUAUGUGUGUCUCCAUGUGUCUCUGUGUGUGUAUCUGUGUGGAGUAUGUGUCUGUGUGUAUGUGUCUCUGUGUGAGUGUGUGUCUGUGUGUGUCUCUGUGUGAGUGUGUGUGUCUCUGUGUGUGUGUGUCUCCAUGUGUCUCUGUGUGUGUGUGUGUGUCUGUGUGUGAGUGUGUGUGUAUCUGUGUGGAGUAUGUGUCUGUGUGUAUGUGUCUCUGUGUGAGUGUGUGUCUGUGUCUGUGUGAGUGUGUCUCUGUGUGAGUGUGUGUGUCUCUGUGUGUGUGUCUGUGUGUGUCUCUCUGUGUGUGUUUUCCAUCGCUGCCACCCCACUGCUCCUGUCUAGAGAUUUAGGGCUUCCAGGCCAGGAGGAGCAGAAGUCCCAGGACUGAUGCCACUCGAAGUUCAUCGGAUCCACACCAUUCAGUUAAGAGUGUCUGGAGAGGAGGUGAGGCAGAGGAGGUGGGCAGAGCAUGUCUGCAUCUGGGUUUCCCUGGGAAUAGUGAGUCAAACAGACACAGGAAUGUCCUUCGCACUGGGAGAGAUGGGAGGCCUCUCAUCGGGUAACCUUCCCUAUGUGCCUGUCGCCCCAUUUAAGGUAGUUGCUUUGAUUCUAGCCUUGUGUGUAUACCUGUUAGAACAAAUAUGGAUGUGUGGAUGGGCCCAUUAAAGCCUGAAUGUAGUGAGAAUAAAGGUCACAAAGAACUCAAUUUUCACCCCCUUUUUGGAAGUUCUGUGACCAUUCUGUAACUGUUCAGAGCUGGCAGCUUUGUAGAGACAAGCAUGCUUGCUAGAACUGGUCCUCAGAGAAAGUACAUUCUUAGCGUGGCUAGGUUGUGGGUCAGCAGUGGAUAGAAGAGUCUAAAUCCAAGGGGCAGGAAGCCUCCGGCAGAAUUAUACCAGAGAGGCUGGAAUCCAGGGUCCCUUAAACGAAAGCGAAGGCUGAGCUCCUCUGGUGUGUUUGCAGCUAUGUGCGUACUUGGGCAAACUGGAAAGCUGUUGAUCCUGGCUUCGUGACGUACACAGUCUGGUGACGAAACCAGAUUCUGAGUCAGUAAGCCAGGGAAGCACAAGCAUUGUGGUGUGUGGUCAUAUGUUUGUGUGUAUGUGUGUUGGAGGGUACUAGUUACAGUUUGGGUUUAGAGGGAGCCUCUUCAAGGAAGUUUUCUUCUGGCUGAUAUCAAAUGGGAACCAGAUGGAGUGGAGUCUGAAAAGCAGAUAUGUGGAGUCUGGAUCGGUAGAUGCUGAGAUCCUGUGUUGAGUCAUGGGAGAAAUAACAGCCACAGCUGCCAUCCUUAAGUCGACUCAGAGGUCACUUCCUCCUCAUCAGGGAAGACUUCUGGAUCGGCGAGGCUCCCACUUACUCACUCAGCUGGCAGAGCAACGCUGACCCCUUGGAGAUCCAGUAAUCACUGAUCCUCUUGGAGGCAAGUCACUCUUCAGGAGUUCUUUCCCUUCUGUGGCUGUCUACGGGGCCACUGAGAAGAAGAUGGUGCCCUCGGAUGGCGAUGGCUCCUUCUGCACCACUCUCUCAGAUUCCAUCGGUGUGGAAUGGACAUCAGGGAAGGCAGCCUCGGACCCAGCAGAGGGUGCCUCUACCUUUUCACCUUUCUGGCCCAUUGGAUUCCUGGCUUUCCAGUGCCACAGCAUGGCAAGCCGCUCUAGACACCUUCCCUGUGUAUUUACUGGUUUUAUGCAGUCCAGAAAUUUGUCUCCAUGCUUCUAUGGGUGCCGGCCCAAUGCAGGCAAUCAGUGCCUGGAGUAUGUGAGGCCUUCCCUGGGUCUGGAGGAAGACUCAGGAUACAACUAAACCCCUGCAUCCACUGACUGGGUUUAAGCAGAAUCAAUUCCCUGUUGGCCAGAAAUGAGUGUAGCUGCCUUCCAAAAUCCCCUCCCACUCAACCUCCCGGCGCCCUACUAAGGGAUUUACUGUCCAAUCUGCUUGGCUCACAGUUAGACAAGAAGCACCUCCAAGGGGUAGAUGAUUGGGACAGACAUGUGUGUGUGUCUCAUGUCACGUGCCCUACGCCGACAUCCUGGAGGGCUGAUGUCAGAGGUCUUGUGCUUCUGACAAACAGGAUGGCCAUGACACACAUGCUGUGUAGUGGACUGCCGUUCAAGAAAGCAAAGGCUGGCUGCUUACUACAGAGGGAUGGAGCGUGACUGGAAGGUUAAGGACAGUGCUGGGCAGGCAUAGACAUGUGGAUCUCUAUGAGCUGGAGGCCCAGCUUGGACUACGUGGCAGGUUCCAAACUGCCAGGGCUACGUAGUGAUAGUGAGACCGGCUCAAAACAGAUGGAUGGAUGAAUGAGAAAGAAAAGGAUGCAGAAAUAAAGGCUGUGUUCCCACAGAA